ensembl:snRNA U6 U6 spliceosomal RNA
GUGCCUGUUUCAGCAGCACAUAUACCAAAAUUGGAACAAUACAGAGAAGAUUAGUAUGACCCCUACACAAAGCAAAUUCAUGAAGUGUUACUUUUUUAU